rnacentral:lncRNA from 1 species
UGCUCAUGUUAGGGCGAGGUUCUCCUCUUGUCCCUAACAGGGCUAUGGAGGCGCAUAUGGGCACUAUAGGACCUCUCCCCCCAUCCGGUCUAAAAAUAAUCGGGCCUUCGACUUUGCUCAUGUUAGGGCGAGGUUCUCCUCCUGUCCCUAACAGGGUUGUGGGGGCAUAUAUGGGCGCUGUAGGGCCUCUCCCCCCAUCCGGUCUAAAGAUAACCAGGCC